AAAAAACUCCCUCUGUCCGGAAAUACUUGUCGGACAAAUUGAUGUAUCUAGACAUAUUUUAGUCCUAGAUACAUUCAUUUUUAUCCAUUUCUUCGACAAGUAUUUCAGGAUGGAGGGCGUAGGUG
rfam:Triticum aestivum genome assembly, contig: Triticum_aestivum_CS42_TGACv1_scaffold_049928_1BS